GUUGGGCAACAAUAUGGUGACCUCCCAGAGGCUGAGGGGAGGAUCGCUUGAGUCCAGGAGUUCUGGGCUGCAGUGCGCUAUGCCAAUGGGGUGUCCCCACUAAGUUGGGCAACAAUAUGGUGACCUCCCGGGAGUGCGGGACCACCAGGUUGCCUAAGGAGGGGUGAACCGGCCCAGGUCGUAAAUGGAGCAGGUCAAAAUUCCCAUGCUGACCAAGAAGCGUGACCUCACAAGACAUCUUCCCAAGAACAACAGAAGAUCAUGGAGAAAAAGACCCUUUCUCCUCCC
rnacentral:SRP_RNA from 1 species